CCCUUAGAUGUUCUGGGCCGCACGCGCGCUACACUGAUGAAUGCAACGAGCUCUACCCUUGACCGAAAGGCCCGGGUAAACUUGUGAAACUUCAUCGUGAUGGGGAUAGAUUAUUGCAAUUAUUAAUCUUCAACGAGGAAUUCCUAGUAAGCGCGAGUCAUCAGCUCGCGUUGAUUACGUCCCUGCCCUUUGUACACACCGCCCGUCGCUCCUACCGAUUGAAUGGUCCGGUGAAAUCUUCGGAUUGCUGACCAAGAUCCAGCAAUGGAGCUUGGUUGCGAGAAGUUGAUUAAACCUUAUUAUUUAGAGGAAGGAGAAGUCGCAACA
rnacentral:rRNA from 1 species